rnacentral:lncRNA from 1 species
CAUUUGCAAAGUUCGAGGAGGCUAAAGUGGUGCGGCAAUUGAAGAUGAUGGUUGUGAAGGAGGAGGUAUACUUGAUUAGCCUAACUCUGAAGGAUAAGGGAAGAAUAAGCGAAUGAAAAGUGCAUAGGAUGAAGAAAGCAGUACAAAGGAUGACGAAACGACAAUUAAGCGGCACAAAGGACGAAAAGAAUGGUGCAAAUGACAAAGGAAAACAGCAUGUAAGCAGUGAGAAUGUGGGGGUUUUGGGAAGGAGAGAGAGCAGAGAAAAGAGAGAGACCGGAGGGAGAGAAAGGGAAAGGGUUGAGAGGGUCGAGAGCAAGUGCAUAAGAAAUAUGAGAAAGUAAGACGUGGCGUAUAGAAAGAUGUGAUGUAUGAAAGCAUCCGUAAGAAGGCCACUUAAUUGCAAUUGCGGU